rnacentral:lncRNA from 1 species
CCCGAGCCCAUCACGCGGCCGCCGCGCCGCCGCCUAGGGUUAGGGUUAGGGUUUGGAGAUCGGAUCUGGAGGCCGGAGGAGAAGGAGGAGGAGAGGGACAUGGUUGCAGCGGUGGCGGCGGCCAUGGUAGUCCGAUCACGAUCAGGUUCUUUUGUUAAUUAGGGUUUAGGCUGCUAAAAAGCUCCACUAGUGGCUCUGCUACUAUUUUUUUUUUUUUUUUUUUUUUUUAAAUCUUAAGCAGCAGAUGGAAAGCUUUCAAAUAGGGUCUCCGCUAAUGUUUCGUCCUUGCGACAUACAAUACGAUACAACUUCGAGUGGUGCCCAGGAGUGCAGGUAUUCAUUGUUUUAUUUAUGGGUAAACUUCAAAUACCUCCCUAUGGUUUCACACUUUCUCACUUUAGUAUUUUAUAAUUUAAAAUGCAUUAAAUUAGUCUAUGUGGUUUCACAUUUUCUUACUAAAGUACCCUAUGGUUUAAAGUGUAUCACGUUAGUAUCCCGUGGUUUCAUUUUUCUCUUUUUAUUAUCCAUUUCACUAAUUUUUUUCGUUUAAUCAGUGACAAAGUUAAAAUUAAAGAGUACUAAAGUAAAUAUUCGAUAAACCGAGAUAGGGUACCAGAAGUUUUUUGUAUAUAAUUUAAUGAAAUAUUAACGGAGGAAAAAAAAAACAGUGACAAAAUUAAAACUAAAGGGUACUAAAGUUAAUAUUCGAUAAACCUAAAUAGGGUAUCUGUAGUUUUUGGUAUAUAAUUUAACAAAAUAUUAACAGAAGAGCUGACAAAAAGAGAAAAAUAAAACCACAGGGUAUUAAAUUGAUGCACUUUAAAACACAAGGUACUAAAUUGAUACAUUUUAAAUCAUAGAGUAUUAAAAUAAAAAAAGUGCAAUAAGUUAUUUACUUAUUUAUUUAUAUUUUUUUCGUUCAUUGAAU